UCCGAUUUGGCACCGGCGGUCUCCCAUGAGUCCCCGGCAUGACCCGCUGGCAACAUGGGACAGGGGUUGCGCUCGUUGCGCCACUUAAGGCAACACCUCACGGCACGAGCUGACGACAGCCAUGCAGCACCUGUGCGGGCCCCCGAAGGAGCACCGUGUUUCCACGGCUUCGCCCUGCAUGUCAAGCCCAGGUAAGGUUCUUCGCGUUGCAUCGAAUUAAGCCACAUGCUCCGCCGCUUGUGCGGGUCCCCGUCAAUUCCUUUGAGUUUUAGCCUUGCGGCCGUACUCCCCAGGCGGGGCGCUUAAUGCGUUAGCUGCGGCACAGACUCCGUGGAAUGGAGCCCACACCUAGCGCCCAACGUUUACGGCGUGGACUAC
rnacentral:misc_RNA from 1 species